rnacentral:lncRNA from 1 species
UGUUUAAUUAGCUUUGUCAUUGCUUGUAUAAGAACUGGUUUGCUGGCAAGCAUAUAUAGCUAACUUCCAUUUUGCAAUGGCGUGUCUUGUACUAAAUGCUCCAGAGUAAUGCCCUUACAUGCUUAAGAAACCUAAGACACGAUAAGCUUGCUUUUCUCUAUAAAAUUGUCCAUAUGUACUCGGGACCUAUGGGCAGCUGAUUUAGAGGAAAAAAAAAAUCCUGUUUGCAACAGAGGGCAAUUCACUUUUUCCUCUGUUCUUCGUAGACUUUAAAUGGACUUGAGCAAGGUUCUGUAUGAAAGUUGUAGUUGAAUAAGAAUUUGCCUUUUAAUAAUGAUAAUAAUGGCUGGCAAGAAGGACAGCACAGCARAGGUAAGUGAUUUUUCAUUUGAUUAUAUCAGCAUUUCAUUAGCUUCAGAGCUAAUUCAUGAAAAACCUAUAAUCCACAGGCUUCUGGAGUUCUCAGUGUACUGCUCAAGCCCAGCUUAUCUAUGUUCUACAAAUGUUUCAAGAAAUACAGAUGGGAUAAAUCGUGGUUGUCUUUCGAGUGCCAGGACACCCGAGUGUCUCUAACAACAAUGGAUUUUUUUCUCAUUGUUGCCAUGCUGUGAGAAGUAUCUAGACAUUGUCUGUGAUAAAGAUCAGAACAUCAACUUUGCUGACCUGGUUAAGACUUUGUAAAUGGGAAUGAGCUAUGCCUACCUCUGUUUUUAACACAGAGAUGCUUCACUGAGCAAUGAACAUUUCCUUCUGAAUUCGACUGGACAGAGAAUGGACAGUAGAGCACUGUGCGAUGAGAGUCCUGAACUAAAUGGUCUGCAACUCUUAGUUGAAGAAAAAACAUACUGAAGGUCUUGGUGUGCAUCACCAUUGGUGGUGUAAGUUGUGGUGACAGUAUAUAAAAUACAGUACUUUACAGGUUGAGGGACAGAGUUCCUCCUCUGACGUGCAUGUGCCUGUGUUUCCUAAGGAAAUGAAUCACAUCUGAGAGUUCUCCAUUUCAGGGACAGUUCCAUUAAGAUUAUCUUAAGAUGAAAAACACAUAAGAAAUAUGUUCUUUAUUUACAGUAUGACCAUAUUCCUCUUUUGAGACAAUAUAGAGUACCUUGCUUCCUCUCACCUAGUUCCUCUUCCUGGAAAGAAUGUAUGUCAGCUUCCUCUAACACUGAAGAGCUGUUGGGGUCUCAUCAUUCUUAACUGAAGUUUUCAUUGUGAAUAUCUUUAGUGAUAAUUUAACAAAAACUAUGUCCUAGAUCCAGCCACAUGAUG